CAUGAGCUAGUACCUACUGUGAGUACUGAAAAACACUAAUAAUAAAGAUACAUGUGCGGAAACAAAGCUGGAUAUGACAUAUGGUUUAAAUGUACUAAAACAAUCUCUUGAAUAAUGAGCCUGAAAAUAAUACUGUAAAGAAUAUCAAUAACAGCUAAAAAACUAACUAAUUGUCUAAAAAUAUCUGAAAGUCUCUAAAUGACUGACUGUAGAGUCGAUGAGACAAGUCCCCAACCAACUCUGGCUCAGAAUAUAAAAACUCACCAAUACUAUUGAUGCUGAUGCGCUGGAAUGUCUAAGUGCGGUUGGGAACCUGAACAUCCGAACCUAUAAUAUGAGACAUCAUAGCGCAAGAAAUAAGUAUACGAUCAGUACUUUGAAUGUACUGGUAUGCU
rnacentral:lncRNA from 1 species